CGGUGCAGCGCGACUAUCAAUCCGCAGUCCUCUGGAUUGUGUGCAUAUUAACCAGGAGAUAAACAUGGCUCUUUCUAACGAACAAAAAGCAGCAAUCGUAGCUGAAUUCGGUCGUGGCGCU
rfam:Marinobacterium stanieri strain DSM 7027 genome assembly, contig: Ga0111666_115